GACGAACGCUGGCGGCGUGCUUAACACAUGCAAGUCGAACGGAAAGGCCCUGCUUUUGUGGGGUGCUCGAGUGGCGAACGGGUGAGUAACACGUGAGUAACCUGCCCUUGACUUUGGGAUAACUUCAGAAAACUGGGGCUAAUACCGGAUAGGAGCUCCUGCUGCAUGGUGGGGGUUGGAAAGUUUCGGCGGUUGGGGAUGGACUCGCGGCUUAUCAGCUUGUUGGUGGGGUAGUGGCUUACCAAGGCUUUGACGGGUAGCCGGCCUGAGAGGGUGACCGGCCACAUUGGGACUGAGAUACGGCCCAGACUCCUACGGGAGGCAGCAAUGGGGAAUAUUGUACAAUGGGCGGAAGCCUGAUGCAGCAACGCCGCGUGCGGGAUGACGGCCUUCGGGUUGUAAACCGCUUUCGCCUGUGACGAAGCGUGAGUGACGGUAAUGGGUAAAGAAGCACCGGCUAACUACGUG
rnacentral:rRNA from 1 species